rnacentral:rRNA from 1 species
GUGAACGCUGGCGGUAGGCCUAACACAUGCAAGUCGAACGGCAGCACAGUAAGAGCUUGCUCUUACGGGUGGCGAGUGGCGGACGGGUGAGGAAUACAUCGGAAUCUACUUUUUCGUUGGGGAUAACGUAGGGAAACUUACGCUAAUACCGCAUACGACCUACGGGUGAAAGCAGGGGAUCUUCGGACCUUGCGCGAUCGAAUGAGCCGAUGUCGGAUUAGAUAGUUGGCGGGGCAAAGGCCCACCAAGGCGACGAUCCGUAGCUGGUCUGAGGGGGAGAUGAGGCACUAUGGAAAUGAGACACGAUCCAAACCCCCUGGGGAGGCAAAAGGGGGGAAUAAUGGACAAAGGGAGGAAGAAUGAUUCCAGCAUAGCCAGUGGGUGGGGAAGGCCUUCAGGGUGUAAAACCCUUUUGUUGGGAAACAAAAGCAGCAGGUUAAUACCCCGCUGUUCUGACGGUACCCAAAGAAUAAGCACCGGCUAACUUCGU